rnacentral:tRNA from 1 species
GGCUGGUGUGCUAAGUGGUUAGAGCAUUGGCCUGAAGGGCCACGGAUUCGAUUCCCAGUCAAGGGCACUUACCUGGGUUGUAGGUUCAAUACCCUGCACUAGUCA